GGUUGGAAAACAUUUCCUUUGGAGGCUGUAGUAUUCCUUUCAGUGUAUUACAGUGGCCCGGAAGAUGCUGUCAGUGGAGAUAAAAGAGUGGCAUGAUGGCUGCAAGAGACAAGGGUCAAGAAAGUGUGCUCCAUGUGUUGUGGUUUUCUGCUGGCCAGAAAAGAUGUCUUUUCAUCAUAACUCAUUCUGAAAUCCUCUGCACGAUGCAAUAGAAGGAACACCAAGCCGAGAGGAAGGCAACAUGGGGAACUGUUGUAAGCAGCUUGAACAUAUAACCAUAUGUGAAAGCCCCACUGGUUCUGGAAUUGGCUUAUGGACCCACAAUGAGUGGAGCAACCAGAAAGGAAUGCAGAAAUAAUGGAGAGCCCUCCCUGCCAUCUGCACCUUUGAGCCCACUGCAUCAUAGGAUUUUGCAGGCCCUGCCAUUACAAAAAUAACCAAAACCAAUUGAAAAAGUGUUCAGUCUUACAAAUCUCAAAAUAAAAGGAACCUUGGAUAUGAGUGACUUUUUCUCCCCUCUAAAUAUGCUGAACAGCCCUGGCUCUCGCAGCUUGUCCUUACAGUGGAGGUGCUCCAUCUCUGG